UACGGGUUUAGCUCAGUUGGUAGAGCACAGGUCUCCAAAACCUGGUGUCGGGAGUUCGAGCCUCUCAACCCGUGCAAA
rnacentral:tRNA from 1 species